rnacentral:rRNA from 1 species
GACGAACGCUGGCGGCGUGCUUAACACAUGCAAGUCGAGCGGUAAGGCCUCUUCGGGGGUACACGAGCGGCGAACGGGUGAGUAACACGUGAGUAAUCUGCCCUUCACUUCGGGAUAAGCUUCGGAAACGGGGUCUAAUACCGGAUACGACACUUUCAGGCAUCUGAUGAGUGUGGAAAGUUUUUUCGGUGGGGGAUGUGCUCGCGGCCUAUCAGCUUGUUGGUGGGGUAAUGGCCCACCAAGGCUUCGACGGGUAGCCGGCCUGAGAGGGUGACCGGCCACACUGGGACUGAGACACGGCCCAGACUCCUACGGGAGGCAGCAGUGGGGAAUAUUGGACAAUGGGCGGAAGCCUGAUCCAGCAACGCCGCGUGAGGGAUGACGGCCUUCGGGUUGUAAACCUCUUUCAGUACCGACGAAGCGAGAGUGACGGUAGGUACAGAAGAAGCACCGGCCAACUACGUGCCAGCCGCCGCAAUAA